ACGGGAGGCAGCAGUGAGGAAUAUUGGUCAAUGGACGGAAGUCUGAACCAGCCAAGUCGCGUGAAGGACGACGGUUCUAUGGAUUGUAAACUUCUUUUGCAUGAGGGUAAAGUGACCUACGCGUAGCUUAUUGCAAGUAUCAUGUGAAUAAGCAUCGGCUAACUCCGUGCCAGCAGCCGCGGUAAUACGGAGGAUGCGAGCGUUAUCCGGAUUUAUUGGGUUUAGAGGGUGCGUAGGCGGGCUGUUAAGUCAGCGGUGAAAGUUUGCGGCUCAACCGUAAGAUUGCCGUUGAAACUGGCGGUCUUGAGUGUAAACGAGGUAGGCGGAAUGUGAUGUGUAGCGGUGAAAUGCUUAGAUAUGUCACAGAACUCCGAUUGCGAAGGCAGCUUACCAGGAUACAACUGACGCUGAGGCACGAAAGCGUGGGUAUCAAACAGGAUUAGAUACCCUGGUA
rnacentral:rRNA from 1 species